rfam:Rattus norvegicus chromosome 1, whole genome shotgun sequence.
GGAGAGAUGGCUCAGUGGUUAAGAGCACUGGCUGCUCUUCCAGAGGUCCUGAGUUCAAAUCCCAGCCACCACA